GACGAACGCUGGCGGCGUGCCUAAUACAUGCAAGUCGAGCGAACCAAUAAGAAGCUUGCUUUUUGUUGGUUAGCGGCGGACGGGUGAGUAACACGUGGGUAACCUGCCUGUAAGACCGGGAUAACUCCGGGAAACCGGUGCUAAUACCGGAUAGAUUAUCUUUCCGCAUGGAGAGAUAAGGAAAGAUGGCUAUUGCCAUCACUUACAGAUGGGCCCGCGGCGCAUUAGCUAGUUGGUGAGGUAACGGCUCACCAAGGCGACGAUGCGUAGCCGACCCGAGAGGGUGAUCGGCCACACUGGGACUGAGACACGGCCCAGACUCCUACGGGAGGCAGCAGUAGGGAAUCUUCCGCAAUGGACGAAAGUCUGACGGAGCAACGCCGCGUGAGCGAAGAAGGUCUUCGGAUCGUAAAGCUCUGUUGUUAGGGAAGAACAAGUAUCGGAGGAAAUGCCGGUACCUUGACGGUACCUGACGAGAAAGCCACGGCUAACUACGUG
rnacentral:rRNA from 1 species